GCUUAAGAGUCAAUAAAGCAUGCACUCAGUCUUUAGAUACUGUUUGUGGACCACUGGAGGGAUUCUAUGGCACUGACACAAAUAAAGGCAGCUGCACUUUUGCUGUGGAACACUCUAAAUGCAGCACUGGACAAUACAUCAAACAGACAGCUACUGGCUCAUUAGAUACCGUGUAUGUGAACUGUUCAGGUGAAAAAUAUUCAAAUGGAUCUUUCUCAUCCUGCUUACUGCACACAAAGUGAGUGUUCACUAGAGCUGAUUGUGUGGUUUACUGUUUAUCAUUUUUCAAAAACUCUGAUCCUGGAUAACAUUCACAGAUGUGAGUACAUGGGGCUUACUGAAAUAAUACAGUUUAAAGGAAUUAAGAAAGGAAUCCCAAGAAAAAAGCAGUUUAACAGAUGUUGGAGGCACGGUAAAUGAGUCAUACCACUUGAGUUCAGAGGACCAAGUCAGACAAGAGAAUCUGAAUGAACUGGAAAUUAGAAAAUUACAUUAUAAUGUGUGUGCCAGGCCUCAAAUAAAGUUGGUAAUAUUUUCAGUACUGUGCAAAUAUUUUAGGCAGAUGUGAAAAAUGUUGUAUAGUGACUAUGUUUUCAGAAAUAUUGCCAUGAAUAAUUUUUAUUUAUGAUUUAACUUCAUACAAAUUUCAAUAAACAUAAAAAAAACCAAUCAAUAUUUGGUGUGACCACAUAAUAUACCUUGAAUGCAGCACCAAUUCUUUAAGGUACACUUGUGCACAGUUUCUCAAGGUUAGGGAGAACUUGCCACAAUUCUAUGUGUUUAGGCUGUCUCAAUUGUUUCUGUAUCUUCAUGCAGUCCUAUACUGACUCAGUGAUGUUGAUAUCUGGGCGGUUCUAUUCUAUUUGCAAAAGUAAUGUUUAGAAAUCUUAAAUAAUUUUUUUUCUGACACACGAAAGCAGAAGAUAUAAAAUAAUUGACUUAAGACAAAUGUUUUUGUAAAACAUAUAAUCUGCCUGAGAGUUUUGCACUAUGUACAUCUUCAGAUAUUUGUAGCAACAUAAUAUACGACUAUGAAAUUCCCUACAUUUGAAUAUAAUCUUUAUGUACAUCUGUAAAGUGCAUUGUAAAUACAAAUGAAAGUUUACUUAUUUACAUUAAGUAUAUUCUAUAAAGCUUUCAGUGUUAUUCACUUUGUAUAAAGCACUUUUUAUUAUUUAAAUGUAAAGUUUGUGUUUAAUACAUUUUCACUAUCAGCAUCCUACAACAAUUAAUUUCUGGUUGUGAUUGCAUAUUAGUUGUUUUUUUACUUGUAAAUGUAAAAAAAUAUUUACAAGCAAAAUACAAACUCUGAAACCUUGAAAAGCUUUCCUUAUGUUAAAGUUAUUGCAAAGAGUUAAACUGUCAUUUUAAUGUUGGUCAAACUCUCCAAACACAUCUGAACUCUCUUAAAGUUUCAUAUUUUCAUAUUUAAAGAACACUGAUACUAUCAUUCAUAAUCUGUACAAUAACUGACUUCUCUGGUGAAUUUAAGAAAUUCAGUCUCUGUUUUUAUAUACAGCAACUAUUAUGUACAGUGCAAUGGGUGAAAUGCAGUGUAAAUGUAUUUUGAAAAAAAUUGUUGUGUAGGCUACAUGUAUUCCAAUCAUUGUCCUUGUCUCCAAAUACAUAAGAUAAGAUGGUGCAUGGGGUAAAAUGACACAACCUGGGGUAAGAUGUUUCCACUGUGAGCGUAUUACUCACACUCAACAAUUAAGCCCUUCAGAGGCCAGAAAACAUUCAACCUGUUCAACUUGACAAUACACACAUCAUUCAAACCGGUCUGUCUGUCUGUCUGUUAGAAUUCUGCAUCUAA